rnacentral:rRNA from 1 species
UACGUAGGGUGCAAGCGUUGUCCGGAAUUACUGGGCGUAAAGAGUUCGUAGGCGGUUUGUCACGUCGUUUGUGAAAACUCACAGCUCAACUGUGAGCCUGCAGGCGAUACGGGCAGACUUGAGUACUGCAGGGGAGACUGGAAUUCAUGGUGUAGCAGUGAAAUGCGUAGAGAUCAUGAGGAAGACCAGUGGCGAAGGCGGGUCUCUGGACAGUUCCUGACACUGAGGCACGAAGGCCAGGGGAGCAAACGGG